UACGUAGGGUGCGAGCGUGUCCGGAUUUAUUGGGCGUAAAGAGCUCGUAGGCGGUUUGUCGCGUCGGCCGUGAAAUCUCCACGCUUAACGUGGAGCGUGCGGUCGAUACGGGCAGACUUGAGUUCGGUAGGGGAGACUGGAAUUCCUGGUGUAGCGGUGAAAUGCGCAGAUAUCAGGAGGAACACCGGUGGCGAAGGCGGAUCUCUGGGCCUGUCCUGACGCUGAGGCGCGAAAGCGUGGGGAGCAAACAGG
rnacentral:rRNA from 1 species